AGAGAUCAUGGCUCAGAAUCAACGCUGGCGGCGUGCCUAACACAUGCAAGUCGAACGCGACUGGGGACUUCGGUUCCCAGUUGAGUGGCGAACGGGCGAGUAACACGUGGGUGAUCUACCUUCGAGUGGGGGAUAACGUUCCGAAAGGAACGCUAAUACCGCAUGACGUUCUGGGUUUGAAGACCUGGAAACCAAAGCCGGGGACCGCAAGGCCUGGCGCUUGAAGAGGAGCCCGCGUCCGAUUAGCUAGUUGGCGGGGUAAUGGCCCACCAAGGCAACGAUCGGUAGCCGGCCUGAGAGGGCGGACGGCCACACUGGGACUGAGACACGGCCCAGACUCCUACGGGAGGCAGCAGUGGGGAAUUGUUCACAAUGGGCGCAAGCCUGAUGACGCAACGCCGCGUGGGGGAUGAAGGCCUUCGGGUCGUAAACCCCUGUCGAAUGGGACGAAAAGCCCGCGAUUUAACAAAACGCGGGACUGACGGUACCGUUAAAGGAAGCCACGGCUAACUCUGUGCCAGCAGCCGCGGUAAUACAGAGGUGGCAAGCGUUGUUCGGAAUUACUGGGCGUAAAGGGCGCGUAGGCGGCCUUCUAAGUCAGACGUGAAAUCCCCCGGCUUAACCUGGGAACUGCGUCUGAUACUGGGAGGCUUGAGUAUGGGAGAGGGAUGUAGAAUUCCAGGUGUAGCGGUGAAAUGCGUAGAUAUCUGGAGGAAUACCGGUGGCGAAGGCGGCAUCCUGGACCAUAACUGACGCUGAGGCGCGGAAGCUAGGGGAGCAAACGGGAAUAGAUACCCCGGUAGUCCUAGCCCUAAACGAUGAAUACUUGGUGUGGCGGGUAUCGAUCCCUGCCG
rnacentral:rRNA from 1 species